AAAAUGCGAUACGUAAUGCGAAUUGCAGAAUUCAGUGAAUCAUCAAAUCUUUGAACGCAAAUUGCGCUCUCGGGAUAGGCCUGGGAGCACGCCUCUUUGAGUAUCGUUUCAACCACAACUCGAAAACGUGCUUACUGCGCGUUGACGGAUAUUGAGCGAUCUCGAGACAUCGAGACGCUUUAAAUGAAGCGAGUGACACGAUUUCAGACUUGAACGGUCUCUGUCUCGAGUGACGAGGAUAACUUCACAUUCAUUUGUGAACCCUUCCAUCGUGACUUUUGAGUCGGGGCUUGUUUCGUGGUCAGUGAUCAAUGUGCCACGGAACUCUGCACCUCGUCUCUUGCGACGAAUGCGGAAUCCUUUUGAACUAGAUCUCAAAUGAAGCGAGAAAACCCGCUGA
rnacentral:misc_RNA from 1 species